UUCCAUUUCAGCUGCACCUAUACUAAUGUUGAAACAAUACAGAGAAGUUUAACAUGAACCCUGUGCAAGGAUAACAUGCAAAUUCGUGAAACAUCCCAUAUGUUU